rnacentral:rRNA from 1 species
UACGGAGGGUGCAAGCGUUAUCCGGAUUUACUGGGUUUAAAGGGUGUGUAGGCGGGCUUUUAAGUCAGUGGUGAAAUCUCCGGGCUCAACCUGGAAACUGCCAUUGAUACUAUUAGUCUUGAAUUUUGUUGAGGUAGGCGGAAUAAGUCAUGUAGCGGUGAAAUGCAUAGAUAUGACUUAGAACACCAAUUGCGAAGGCAGCUUGCUAAACAAAUAUUGACGCUGAGGCACGAAGCGUGGGAUCAAACAGA